AUGAAGCUGGAUUCGCUAGUAAUCGCGCAUCAGCCACGGCGCGGUGAAUACGUUCCCGGGCCUUGUACACACCGCCCGUCACACCAUGAGAGUUGGGAAUACCCGAAGCCUGUGAGCUAACUUAUAGAGGCAGCAGUCGAAGGUAGAAUCAAUGAUUGGGGUGAAGUCGUAACAAGGUAAC
rnacentral:rRNA from 1 species